AAAAAAAAAAAAAAAAAAAGUUUCAUUGUUCUUUGGCUUACCAGCUUCUCUCUCCUUGGUAUUUUCAGGAUCUGUAUGGGAAAUUCCACAACCAUGGAGAGUAUUAAGCAAAGUUCAUGUUUACACCUGAUUUUUGUGGUAAAUGAAAUUAUAUUUAUGGGAUCUCUCUCCAUUUACUACAGGAUGUUCUUUCCUCGAGUCAGAGUUUGAAGAGAGGUAUAGAAGCUUUUGUGGUCUAUCUUCAGAAGAAUGGGAUUAAGUUAUUACACAAAGAAUUGUAUGUGAUAUAGUUUAGAUUAAUAAGGAGACUAGGCUUCCUAGGCUGUUAGUUUAAUUUGAACUCCCACUGCUGGAGAGUAAGAAGAUUUGAAUAUACAAAUUUGGCUGCUGAUUAUCCUACUCUGAAUGUUGUUUGGGAAUUACACAUUGUAACUAUUACUGUUGCAUGUUUCUGACAGUUUUUAUUACCCUCCAUAUUCAGACGAGCUUACUGACUGAAUUUGUCACUAUUUAAACAUCUUCUGUACUUAAGUAGCCCAAGUUUCAAACCCAGCUGAACCAGGAUGCUUUUGCUGAAGAAGGGAUUUUCAAUCCCUUGCAGGGCUUAAUAGUCCAGUUCAAGUGGUUUCUUGAAGUUGGAUGUCUCUUUUAACUGUUGUGCUUAAAAAAUGAAAGCAUUUGUAGACAAUCAAUAUGUUAUACAGCCAUUAUCAUUUCCAGGCACUUACUGUUCAUUGAAAAUCCAUUAUCCAUAAAUGAGCAUUCACCAGACAGCAUGUAGCAUUAUUUCACAGCAUAGUUCAAAUUUAUAUCUGAGAAAAUUAUAUCAUAGCAAGUAGUUUUGACCCUGUCACCAUUUCAUCCUCACCUUCCUUCUCUAUAACCAAAAAAACCCUUCUUCAAUGCUCUAUGUUUUUUUAAAAAACAUUCACACUUUUUUUUUUUCUUCUGUAUUUAUCGUAAACAUACAACAAACAGGUCAUCUUCUACUCAUUCACAAUAAUACUGACUGCUCUUAGAGAACAGAAGUUAUAGUUCUUCUCCCAUGCUGAUUUGUUUGCUUUUCAUUACAAAACAUGGACAUAAAUUACAUAGCAAAUAUGAUGUGAUAAGAGUACCUAACUAUUUGCACCUAACCUAAUCGUAACCACUGAUUCAAAACAUGUAUUUUCAGGGCUGAGAAUAACUGAUAAAAUUGGAGUAGCUUAUU
rnacentral:lncRNA from 1 species